AUUGAACGCUGGCGGCAGGCCUAACACAUGCAAGUCGAGCGGAUGAAGGGAGCUUGCUCCUGGAUUCAGCGGCGGACGGGUGAGUAAUGCCUAGGAAUCUGCCUGGUAGUGGGGGAUAACGUCCGGACACGGGCGCUAAUACCGCAUACGUCCUGAGGGAGAAAGUGGGGGAUCUUCGGACCUCACGCUAUCAGAUGAGCCUAGGCCGGAUUAGCUAGUUGGUGGGGUAAAGGCCUACCAAGGCGACGAUCCGUAACUGGUCUGAGAGGAUGAUCAGUCACACUGGAACUGAGACACGGUCCAGACUCCUACGGGAGGCAGCAGUGGGGAAUAUUGGACAAUGGGCGAAAGCCUGAUCCAGCAAUGCCGCGUGUGUGAAGAAGGUCUUCGGAUUGUAAAGCACUUUAAGUUGGGAGGAAGGACAGUAAGUUAAUACCUUGCUGUUUUGACGUUACCAACAGAAUAAGCACCGGCUAACUUCGUG
rnacentral:rRNA from 1 species